rnacentral:ncRNA from 1 species
GGUUUGGUCCUGGCCUUGAAGUCAAUUACUUCUUAAUAUACACAUGCAAGUAUCCGCCCCCCUGUGAAAACGCCCUUAAACUCCCCCAUAGGGACAAGGAGCUGGUAUCAGGCACGAAAUUCUGCCCAAGACACCUAGCUUAGCCACACCCACAAGGGAACUCAGCAGUGAUUAACAUUGAACAUAAGCGACAGCUUGACUCAGUUAAAGAAAAUAGAGCCGGCAAAUCUGGUGCCAGCCGCCGCGGUUAUACCACGUGACUCAAAUUGACCUUAACCGGCGUAAAGCGUGAUUAAAGUUUCUAAAAAUUAAAGUUAAACUGAAAUUAAGCUGUGACACGCUUAUUUUAAGGAAAACCUAAUACGAAAGUUACUUUAACUAAAUCUACUUGAACUCACGACAAUUAGGACACAAACUGGGAUUAGAUACCCCACUAUGCCUAAUCGUAAACUUUAAUUUACAACAAUAUCGCCAGGGAACUACGAGCAAAGCUUAAAACCCAAAGGACUUGACGGUACCCCAAAUCCACCUAGAGGAGCCUGUCCUAUAACCGAUACCCCCCGUUUAACCUCACCAUUUUUAGCCUCUCAGCCUGUAUACCUCCGUCGUCAGCUUACCACGUGAGCGAACACUAGUGAGCUUAAUGUUUAUACACCAACACGUCAGGUCAAGGUGCAGCAUAUGAAAUGGAAAGAGAUGGGCUACACUUUUCUAAUAUAGAAUACACGAAGGACUAUUUAUGAAACCUAGUCUGAAGGGAGGAUUUAGAAGUAAAAAAAACAAGAGCGUUUUCUUUAACUAGGCACUGGGGUGUGUACACACCGCCCGUCACCCUCUUCAAAGCUCAAUUAUAGUAACUAACUUAAAUUCGCUAAACAGAAGAGGCAAGUCGUAACAUGGUAAGUAUACCGGAAGGUGUGCUUGGAA